UAGGAGAGUUUCAUAAACACCGGAGCCAGCUAAUUUGUUUCGUCUCUGAGAACGAACUCAAGAAAUGGACUGAGGCAGCAGAGAGAAAUAAAAAAUGGGGGAAUUCUCUGAGGGUUGUUGCCCUCUCUCUGCAUGCCAAUGAUUUCAUUCAAAUCGAAAGAAAAACUAACAACCCUUCUCAGUUUUUAAGUACUCAUGCGUGUAUUUAUGUGUAUAUAUAUAUAUAUCUGUAUGUGAUCUCUGGGGCGGUGGAUCUCUGGUUAUUGCUAAUAUGGAAUACUGGCUUCUACUUCACAUUUCCAACACCACCUUUACCAAUGCAAUCUCCUUUUUUAUCUCAGACUUAGCUCCUUUCCACUGUUAUAGGCUGUGACGAUCGAAUUCGAUUGCUCUUGGGUUCAUCUGGGCAUUGAGGUUAUUCGACCCGCAUCUUGGCGGGGCAACCCGGAUGGCCUGUGGAUUGAUUUUGGGCAACUGUGGUUUUGCAGCCAUGGCGGUGUCUCUCCUUCUUUGCCUGAUUACAUCACGGAUCUGAGCCUUACUUAUAUCCACAUUUUAAAAAUAAAUAUCCACACGGGGCGGACACGAAGCUCAAUGCUUUCAGGUCAGCCCGCACCAUUUCUUUGAUUGGCUAUGGCUUUUCUCCCAUUGAGGAUUGAGACAAUAAGCAAUUGGCAGGUUUUACGUCCUUCAUGUCUAGUUUAAAGGUUUUUUGAAAAAAAAAAUGAAGAAAGAAAAAGAGGGAAGAGGAAGGGCAAAUUGAUAAUCUUAAUUAAAUAAUGUGACUUUUAUUUUAUGUCUUGGGCACUAAGUUUGGUCUUUUAAUUUUAAGAAAAUGAAAAAAAUUAUAAUAAUUUUACUCUCCCCCAUCCCUCCUCUCUCGGUUUUCACACUCACUUAUAUUUCCCUCUCUCUCGGCUUUCUCUCUCCAUCACCAGCAUGCACUCAUUGCACACAUUAACAUAUACUCACACACGCAGUUCUCACGCGUACACACAGAUUACACACACACACACACACACCAGAAAACACAUGCACACACUAACACAAACAAAUCUGCACACACACCUCACUUUUUCCCUUUGCACUCUCUCACAAAUCACACACUGAAAAAGGAACAAAAGAAGAAGAAAGUGGGACAAAGGACAGCUUGGACUCAUGGAUUUCUUCGCCAAAUUCUCCUUGUUCGAGUUGAAAGGCUACCAAUUUAAUGAAGGGCUUUGUUGCUUAGUGAAGGUUUCAGGCUGUGAUGAUAGAGUUAUUUUCUUGAGUUAUUGGCGUGGAGUUGAAUCCGACCCGUAUCUUGGCUGGGCAACCCUGAUGGCAUGUGAUCUGAGAGCGGGUGGGCUUCAAUUAGCUCCUCCUUUCUCCUUCACAUAUGCAACUGGGAAAUUGCAGGCCAUGGCGCUGUCGCCUUCUCUUUUGC